rnacentral:rRNA from 1 species
UACGUAGGGGGCUAGCGUUGUCCGGAAUCAUUGGGCGUAAAGCGCGCGUAGGCGGCCAGAUAAGUCCGGUGUGAAAGUCACAGGCUCAACCUGUGAAUGCCGCUGGAAACUGUCUGGCUUGAGUCCGGAAGGGGCGAGUGGAAUUCCUGGUGUAGCGGUGAAAUGCGCAGAUAUCAGGAAGAACACCCGUGGCUAAGGCGGCUCUCUAGUACGGUACUGACGCUGAGACGCGAAAGCGUGGGGAGCGAACAGG